AAAAGUUAAAAAAGGCUUUGGGACGAGUUUAUCUGAAUAUUCAACUUGACGAGGUUUAUCCGGACUGCUGUGACACUUGCAGCCAGCAGUUAAUGAGAGAAGUGAGUGUGGGAGGUCAUUGAUGUAUAGAAGAAAAAGCAAAGGUCCAAGUGUUGACCCUUGUGGGACUCCGCAGGUAAUUGGUUGAAGGUCCGAUUCAGUGUUUCCUAAUUUGACAAACUGUUUUCUUUCAUUUAGGUAGCUUGAAAACCAUUUUUGUGGGGUAUCCCUAAUUCCAUAUUUGUACAUUUUUUC